CCUGUUCAGCGCCUGGCCAAUGCCCCCAGCCUGGACUUUCUUGGGGAGAGAGCUGUCUCUGCUGAAGCAGCCAUAACGCCAGACAGAGACGUGCAGCAGAGCCCCCCCACGGUGCCCAAGCUGGCCUGGGUGAAGGAGGAGGAGGAGGAGGAGGAAAGCCCUGGGGCUGCUCCAGCACAGCAGCCUGAAGAGGUGCAGCAGGUGCAGCCCCCACAGGAGGAUGCAGGCCAGGAGCGGAC